UACAGAGGUCUCGAGCGUUAGGCGGAAUCACUGGGCUUAAAGCGUGUGUAGGCGGAUCGUUAAGUACCUUGUGAAAUCCCACGGCUUAACCGUGGAACUGCUUGGUAUACUGGCGGUCUUGAGCCAGCUAGGGGCUACCGGAACAAAUGGUGGAGCGGUGAAAUGCGUAGAUAUCAUUUGGAACGCCAAUGGUGAAAACAGGUAGCUGGGGCUGUGCUGACGCUGAGACACGAAAGCCAGGGAAGCAAACGGG
rnacentral:rRNA from 1 species